rnacentral:rRNA from 1 species
GCUUAAGAAUCGCAUGAUUUUUGAGUCAAAGAUUUAUCGGCAUAGGAUGGGCCCGCGUCUGAUUAGCUAGUUGGUGGGGUAAAGGCUCACCAAGGCGACGAUCAGUAGCCGACCUGAGAGGGUGAUCGGCCACACUGGAACUGAGACACGGUCCAGACUCCUACGGGAGGCAGCAGUGGGGAAUAUUGCACAAUGGGGGAAACCCUGAUGCAGCAACGCCGCGUGAGUGAAGAAGGCCUUCGGGUCGUAAAGCUCUGUCCUAAGGGAAGAAUAAAUGACGGUACCUUAGGAGGAAGCCCCGGCUAACUACGUGCCAGCAGCCGCGGUAAUACGUAGGGGGCAAGCGUUAUCCGGAAUCAUUGGGCGUAAAGGGUGCGUAGGCGGUCAAUAAAGUCAGGGGUGAAAGGCUACGGCUCAACCGUAGUAAGCCCUUGAAACUUAGUGACUUGAGUGCAGGAGAGGUAAGUGGAAUUCCUAGUGUAGCGGUGAAAUGCGUAGAUAUUAGGAGGAACACCAGUGGCGAAGGCGACUUACUGGACUGUAACUGACGCUGAGGCACGAAAGCGUGGGGAGCGAACAGGAUUAGAUACCCU